AGAACACUGAUGACCUUUGAGUCAUGUGGACGAUAGAUUCCUUUUUGAAAUACUGUCAAACUCAAUAGAACUGUCAGAGGAAAAGAUGAACAAUUCUGUGAAGUCCUCGGCCACAUCUGUAGAUGAUUAAUAGAAUAUCCCUGCUUCAUGGAACAUUGCUUUCUUUGUCUUACAAUCUGCCACCUACAAAUGAAGGGAGACAAAUAGUUAAUUGCAGUACAUUAGAAAAAAAUUCUAGUGGAAGAUUAAUAUUGCUUCUGGUUUGGGGGAAACAGCCAGAGAAAAAUGGAUGAGAUCCGUGAAACCACAUUAAAAGACUCAUCCCUUGAAGGAAAAAUUAACCUGGUUGUUCAUUGCUCUGUGAAGCAGCCUACCGAAAGUUAAUCGUUCUUUGAUCCAACCUUUUAUGAAUAGCUCUGAAGCUAUUCAUUUUAUUUUCCUGAAUUUUGUGCACUCACUCUUAAUGAUACAUAUCCCAACAAAUACAUCUCUGUAAUGUUAAUUUUCGGUCAAUGUUAUAUACAGAAAUCUCCUUUCAAUGUGAACAACCUGAACAAGGUUGUAACGCCUUACAGCUAUAAAGACAUUAGAAACAUAAAUUGUAUGGUUAUGUGGACAAGCAAUUAAUUCUGAUUGCAUUAAGUGGCACUUCAAGAAGUUUCCUGUCCAAAACCAAUUGUUGUUCCUUUCCAUGCAAUGUGGCAUAUCAGGCAGCAAGCUUGCCAUUUUUUCAGCACUUUUUGUCAAUUUUUUACAAUUCGAUGCUCAACCCAGAAUGGAUAGAAAGUAUGCAAGGAGCCGGUCGGAUUUGAACCAAAGACCACUCACGUCAAAGUCCGGUGCCGAUGCCACUACACCAUCAGCAGUAACAGCAGUUUGCUUAUAGCUCCAUUCUCAUUCUCAUUAUGACCAGCAUCCAAGCAUGUUAUGUUUUGUUGGAGGUGCGUGUUGGAGGUUCUUUUGAAGACCCUGACCUGGAGUUACACGCUGACUUCGGUUCUUUGCAGGAAUGGGACACGUUCUCGGGGUUUUAGGACUGGCUGUUGUUCAGCAUGCCAAGGGUUCGGCCUGGGAGUCUGGCUUGAAUUCGGAAGCCUAAGAUCUCAGGGCUCUGGAGAUGGGCAGAUUGAGGUUUGGUGUCAUCAGAGGAGUCAGGAUAUCUGUUGUGAGCCCAAAGACCCGGGAUCUUUGCGAUCUUCAGGCACAGAGCUCGAGAAAAGUGACGUAACAGAUUUUUAACAUCAUAAACCAGCGAGUUGCUUGUUAUGUCUCCCCGCUCACUGGGAAAAAAAUGGAGACACCUCUUUCUCCUUUAUUAGGGAGAGAGAGACUCUGGCAUGUCGAACACUGGAUGAAAUGCCAAGUCCUUGGGGUAACUGCAAAUCUGUCUGUUUGCUAAUUCUUUGCUCACACUAAGAGCUCAGUGCUGGUACCGAU